rnacentral:rRNA from 1 species
AUGUCAUCUCUCAUUGGAUGUCUGAAUUUAGACUCCGGCUGUAGGGUUGUUUGUGUUGUGUGGUAUGAAUUGCCUUUGUACUUCAAAAUGCAUGUAUCAAGUGUCGAUUUUCUAAUAAAACGAUCUGUAUAUCUGCAUUACAGUUGGAAUAUUCAUAUGUAUGGUUUCAUGCUUCCAAGAAUAACAAACACUAUGCACCCAGCUCUCUCUUUUGUGGCCACUAACCAUUCACUUUCUUUUGUUCCUACAACCUGCAUUGGCGUAAGUUUGAUUUUAUAUUGCCUACUUCAAGCACCGAUGGACCACCACAUGUUUGAAUUAUUUGUUUUUCAGAGAUUAUUUCUCUGGAUUUCCAUUUUUAUUGAUCAGAAGGCACGGGUGCAGGUAUCAACAAUUACAGUGUUGAGUGGUCGUAACCACCCACUUUUGUGCCCACAUUUUUCAAAAAUACUGCAAAGAUACAUUUGA